rnacentral:rRNA from 1 species
GAGUUUGAUCCUGGCUCAGAAUCAACGCUGGCGGCGUGCCUAAUACAUGCAAGUCGAGCGGUAAGGCCCCUUCGGGGUACGACGAGCGGCGGACGGCUGAGUAACACGUAGGAACAUACCCCGAAACUGAGGGAUAAGCACCAGAAAUGGUGUCUAAUACCGCAUGUGGUCUAAGGACUAAAGCUACGGCGGUUUGGGAAUGGCCUGCGUAUGAUUAGAUAGUUGGUGAGGUAACGGCUCACCAAGUCGACGAUCAUUAGCUGGUCUGAGAGGAUGACCAGCCAGACUGGGACUGAGAACGGCCCAGACUCCUACGGGAGGCAGCAGUAGGGAAUUUUUCCACAAUGGGGGCAACCCUGAUGGAGCAACGCCGCGUGCAGGAUAAGGCCUUAGGGUUGUAAACUGCUUUUUAUCUGUGACGAAUUUGACGGUAGCAGAUGAAUAAGGAUCGGCUAACUCCGUGCCAGCC